GUUUACAGCCUGCUCCCCUGAACAAGCCCAAUCCCAUCUGAUCUCGGAAGCUAAGCAGGGUCAGGCUUGGUUAGUACUUGGAUGAGAGACCACCUAGGAAGAUUAGGUACUGUAGUUG
rnacentral:rRNA from 1 species